UCAUUAGAUGGCUGAAAGCAAGCAAUGGAAUUUUAAACCAUCCUAUAGUAACCUAGCAACUACUUCUAAUGAU
rnacentral:tRNA from 1 species